GACGAACCGUGCGAACUUUAUUCGGAAUCACUGGGCUUAAAGCGCGUGUAGGCGGAUGGGUGCGUCGGCUUCUGAAAGCCCCCGCUCAACCGGGGAAGUGGGGCCGAAACGACCCGUCUGGAGGGACGUAGGGGGAUCUGGAACUUCCGGUGGAGCGGUGAAAUGCGUUGAGAUCGGAAGGAACGCCCGUGGCGAAAGCGAGAUCCUGGACGUCUUCUGACGCUGAGACGCGAAAGCUAGGGAGCAACGG
rnacentral:rRNA from 1 species